AACCAAUUAGGCAAAACUCUCAUCCAAGUGAUCGAAAGCCAUGUAAAGGCAAAGGUUAAAGUCACUUGGCAUGAGAAGCAUCACAAAUGCCAAAUCAACUUGGAAAAGUCUCGGUCCCCAAAGACAUGGGCAACGGCUCGACACAACUGAGACAAAGAACACAUAAUUCCUCAAGAAGAUGCAAAAAGAGCUCAACACCAAUUAUGUGAAGAUUGAAAGCACAUGAUCCCUCAAGAUGAGGCAGAAAGGGCUCAACACCAAUCAUGUGAUGAUCGAAAGCUCAAAUCAAAUGCCGGUUCCUCAAGAAGAGGUAAAAGCUCAACACAACCGGCAAAAGAGCAAAAGAGAGCACAAAACUAGCACAAAGCUCAGAAGCUGCCACUAAACACAACCAACAUAGCAAAAGAGCACACAAAGCUCAUAGGCUCCCCCUAAACACAUGCACUCCCCCU
rnacentral:lncRNA from 1 species